ACCUACGGGGGGCAGCAGUGGGGAAUAUUGCACAAUGGGGGGAACCCUGAUGCAGCGACGCCGCGUGAGUGAAGAAGUAUUUCGGUAUGUAAAGCUCUAUCAGCAGGGAAGAUAAUGACAGUACCUGACUAAGAAGCCCCGGCUAACUACGUGCCAGCAGCCGCGGUAAUACGUAGGGGGCAAGCGUUAUCCGGAUUUACUGGGUGUAAAGGGUGCGUAGGUGGCAGGGCAAGUCAGAUGUGAAAGCCCGGGGCCCAACCCCGGUACUGCCUUUGAAACUGUCCGGCUGGCGUGCAGGAGAGGGA
rnacentral:rRNA from 1 species